CAGCUUUAAACAGGAUAUUUCCCACCUUUGGAUACGAAGGCAACAGACAGGUGAUCUCAGGAACAGAUCCAGAGCAGAGACCAGGAGCAGUGCAGCUCAGUGUGGUCUUCUGUCCCUCAGUCAGAGAAGGAAUCGUCACUGUGGGCUUCUGGGUCAGAUCUGAUGGGAGAGAGAUCCAUGAGUGGAGGCAGGUGAUUUCAGGAACAGAUCCAGAGCAGAGACCAGGAGCAGUGCAGCUCAGUGUGGUCUGCUGUCCCUCCUUCAGAGGAGGAAUCAUCAUUGUGGGCUUCUGAGUCAGAUCUAAUGGAAGAGAGGUCCACAAUUAGGUGAUCUCAGGAACAGACCCAGAGCAGAGACCAGGUGCAGUGCAGCUCAGUGUGGUUUGCUGUCCUUCUGUCAAUGGAGGGAUCAUCACUGCAGGCUUCUGGGUCAGAUCUGUAGGGAGAUUGGUCCAUCAGAAGCAGGGACUUGGCUUGGGAACCGGAGGGUCGUCGGUUGGAGUCCCAGCAUGGACGAAAAUUGGAAAGUGGACUGGUAGCUGGAGAGGUGUUGGUUCACUUGCAUGGCUACUGUCGAGGUGUCCUUGUGCAAGGCACCGAACCUCCAACUGCUCGGGGCGCGCUGGUUGUUGGCAGCAUCCACACUCUGACAUCUCUCCCUAAGUGCAUGUCCACUGCAUGUUUGUGAAUAAAAUUGUAUGUAUAUACCAAA